AUGUCAAAUCAUCAUGCUCUUUAUGAACUGGGCUACAAACGUACUACAAUGGCGCGAACAAAGGGGAGCGAAGCCGCGAGGCGGAGCAAAUCCCAAAACCGCGUCCCAGUUCGGAUUGCAGGCUGCAACUCGCCUGCAUGAAGUUGGAAUUGCUAGUAAUCGCGAAUCAGCAUGUCGCGGUGAAUACGUUCCCGGGUCUU
rnacentral:rRNA from 1 species